GGAAGAGCUAGAGGGAACACGUUGGCUCCUCCGCGCUCCCUGUUCCGUCUUUCACGUGUUCGGGUCUGGGUGCGUCUGAUCUUGUAGCAUUGUCUUUUGCGAAUACUCUGAAAAAAAAAAAACGUGAGCGGUUCUACGUAUCUGUGAAAUCUAUGGUAGCCUCACAAGUCUUUCCACAAUCCCAGAAACAAGUUGUGAACGAGUGUCAUUUCAAGAUUACACAGACACUUUCAUGAGCCUAAUCGGUGCUUGAGCGGGAGUUAAGAAAGACGGAAGUGGUAAUAGUGACAAAAGACGACGUCGAGGAAGCUGUGAGGUCUGAAGGUGGUGUGUCUUUGGGGUCUUCACUGUCAUCUGAGAGGGGAUGCGAACCGGUACGAGUGAAUAUGUAGUGGUGGGGGAUCUCAACGUUCUCCCUGCCGCGCUGGAAGUUCCUAUUGUGGCUUGUGUUGACAUGAUGGGCACAUUGAUUCAAUUGUAGUGCUAACGUGUAAUGCUUUCGUACUUGGCAAGAAGCACGUUAUUGAUGAUUAAAUAGAUUAUCUUAUGUUUUUUAGGUGCGUUUGAUAAUCCAUGACAUUCAUCCUUAAACUUGAAUUGGGCUAAUGUUGAUGAAAUUGACCAUACAUUUGAUAAAAGAAAAAAAAAUUGUGUUAUUCUGACAUUAAACUGUGAGAUACACUGACUUACAGAAAAAGGUUGCGAAUGUAAACUAUAGAAAAGCUAAAUGCCAACGAAACUAAAAUAAUGAUGAAGAAAGCCUCAAAUUUAUAAUGAGCAAUUUAAUUAAGUUUGAUUUAUUUAAGAACCGUGGUAUUCAACAAUACAUAGUGAAGUAAACAGAAAAGACUGCAGUGAUUAACAAUGUCAUACUAACUUACAAACUGAACUUGUACUUCAGCCAACAAGAGACCAAUAUGAUACAGUUGUGCUGGUAGUUAAAGCUCAACCACAGUCACCACCAUCACAACUACUACUGCUGUCACUAAGACUACCACCACCACUACCACCACCACCACCACUACUACUACUACUACUACUACUACUACUAUUACUACUACUACUACUACUACUACCACUGCUGCUACUACUACUAUUACUGCUACUACGAGCCCCACCACCACCAACAUGAGGUUGCUCUGCGGUCUGAGUUCUCCGGAAGGAAGGCCACUGGUCUUCGUGCUUCUCUCAGCUCUCUUAGGAAUGGAAUGAUCGACCCCACCCAAUCGGUGCAGGAAGUGAGUGACACCUUUCCAGAGGCACAUGCCGCUCCCACGAACUCCUCGAUGCGGUCACCGUCGAGGAUAGGGGAUAAUGAGAAGCAUGUGGGUAUUCUUCAGACACUUAGCGAUACCUUGAAAAUGUACCAACUUCAGCAGAACUGGAACUGCAGUCACCGAAGUCACCACAUCCAAGCGUUGGCCACGCUUCCAGUCUCCCUUUUCUCCUCUACUUUAUCCUCAAUUUCAAACCAAAAGUGGCUGUUAUAUCAAUGUAUGCAAUGACGUAACGUGCCAACGUCCUGAAAUCUUCAGAAUUUUCUACUGUCUGGCUGAAAUUUUAUUGUCGUUCUCUUUUUUACAGUGUAUCUCUCAUCUAAUUCCUCUAACUAAAUACUAAGAUACUUUGAUUAUGUGACGUCUAAAGUAGAGCACAUUCUCACCCAUUUUCCUCUCGCUGAAAUCUGCAUCCCUUUAAAUUUAGCCAGCUUUAGCUAUCAUCAUGUUACUGGCCAACCUAGUCAACAAACCUUCACCUCUGCUAUUCUACAUGACCAACAUGGAGGAGGCAGUAGACACCUGCCGAAACGAUAAUUACUCCCAGUGAGGUCUAAAGCACUGUUCAGAGGGUGCUUUGAACUUAUCAUUAAACCCAGUUGUGACCUCACAGAACGUUUCCCUUUGUUUCUCACAACACAAGGGGGCAGUCACAGCCUGCCCUCUAAAGACAACUCUCUUCCUCCACACAAAACUACAAGCACCUAAUAACACACACCCUUCACUCCAAAAUUUUUAAGUCAUCAUGGCGACUCCUACACCAGCCUCGGAGUCCCCAUCGGGGGAGGGGACCAUAAAUGUCCCCAGGUCGGACUGCCUUUCUGUCGACGACCCUAAGUGUCUUGACACCCCCCCUUAACUUUUUCUUCAUUAACUUCUGCAACAUUCGUGGUCUAAGAUCUAAUUUUUCAAUCUGUAGAACACCACCUCUCCUCUUCUAAACCUCAUCUUCUUUUCUUCACUGAAACUCAGGUGUCUGAGGCAACUGACAGUAGCCCUUUUCUGUUCCCUCCUACUUUCUCUAUCCUCAUUUUCGAUCCAAAGCUGGAUGCUGCGUUUAUGUGCGCAAUGACUUAACCUGCUCUCGUGCCCACGCUCUUGAAUCUUCCGAGUUUUCCACCAUCUGGCUACGACUACAGAGUCACUUUCAUACUAAAUUUAUCUGUGCUGUAUACCUCUCUCCUAACUCCUCUGACUAUAAGAAAUUCUUUGACUACUUAACUUCCAAAGUGGAGCACAUUGUGACCCUCUUCCCUUUUGCAGAGAUCUCCAUUCUUGGAGACUUCAAUGUUCACCACCAGCUUUGGCUUUCCUCUCCCUUCACUGACCAUCCCGGUGAACUAGCCUACAACUUUGCUAUCCUCCAUGACCUAGAGCAAUUGGUGCAACACCCUACUCGUAUUCCUGACCGUCUUGGAGAUACGCCCAACAUUCUUGACCUUUUCCUGACCUCUAAUCCUUCUGCUUAUGCUGUCACCCUUUCUUCUCCGUUGGGCUCCUCCGAUCACAAUCUCAUAUCUUUAUCUUGUCCUAUCGCUCCAAUCUCUCCUCAGGGUCCCGCUAAGCGAAGGUGCCUCUGGCGUUUUGCCUCUGCUAGUUGGGGGGACCUGAGGAGGUAUUUUGCUGAUUUUCCUUGGAAAGACUACUGCUUCCGUGUCAGAGAACCGUCUUUCUGUGCUGAGCGCAUAACAGAGGUGAUAGUGUCUGGCAUGGAGGCAUACAUUCCUCACUCUUUUUCUCAUCCUAAACCUUCUAAACCUUGGUUUAACACAGCUUGUUCUCGUGCUAUACUUGAUAGAGAAGUGGCCCACAAAAGGUACUUAAGUCUUCCAUCACCAGAAUUUCAUGCACUUUAUAUUUCUGCCCGGAACCAUGCCAAGUAUGUUCUCCAACUAGCCAAAAUCUCCUUCAUUAACAGAAAAUGUCAAAACCUUUCAAGAUCUAACUCCCCUCGUGACUUCUGGCAUCUGGCCAAAAAUAUCUCCAAUAACUUUGCUUCUUCUUCUUCUUUCCCUCCUCUAUUUCAACCAGAUGGCACCACUGCUAUCACAUCUAUUUCUAAAGCUGAACUGUUCGCUCAAACCUUUGCUAAAAACUCUACCUUGGACGAUUCUGGCCUUGUUCCUCCCUCUCCUCCACCCUCUGACUUCUUCAUGCCACCUAUUAAAAUUCUUCGCAAUGAUGUUUUCUAUGCCCUCGCUGGCCUAAACCCUCGGAAGACUUAUGGACCUGAUGGGGUCCCUCCUAUUGUUCUCCGAAACUGUGCCUCCGUGCUUGAACUUUGCCUAGUCAAACUCUUUCAGCUCUGUCUGUCAACAUAUACCUUUCCUUCUUGCUGGAAGCUUGCCUACAUUCAACCUGUUCCUAAAAAGGGUGACCGUUCUAAUCCCUCAAACUACCGUCCUAUUGCUUUAAUUUCCUGCCUAUCUAAAGUUUUUUAAUCUAUCCUCAACAGGAAGAUUCUUAAAUAUGUAUCACUUCACAACCUUCUAUCUGAUCACCAGUAUGGGCUCCGUCAAGGCCGCUCUACUGGUGAUCUUCUGGCUUUCCUUACUGGGUCUUGGUCAUCCUCUUUUAGAGAUUUUGGGGAAACUUUUCCUGUUGCCUUGGACAUAUCAAAAGCUUUUGAUAGAGUCUGGCAAAAAGCUUUCAUUUCCAAACUACCCUCCUACGGUUUCUAUCCUUCUCUCUGUAACUUCAUCUCAAGUUUCCUUUCUGACCGUUCUAUUGCUGCUGUGGUAGACAGUCAUUGUUCUUCUCCUAAAUCUAUUAACAGUGGUGUUCCUCAGGGUUCUGUCCUGUCACCCACUCUCUUCUUAUUAUUCAUUAGUGAUCUUCGAAACCUACGUUGAUGAUACCACCCUGCAUUUUUCCACGUCUUUUCAUAAACGUCCAACUAUUCAGGAGGUAAACAUUUCACGAAGGGAAGCCACAGAACGCUUGACUUCUGAUCUUUGUAAAAAUUUCUGAUUGGGGCAGAGCAAACUUGGUAUUGUUCAGUGCCUCAAAAACUCAAUUCCUCCAUCUAUCAACUCGACACAACCUUCCAGACAACUAUCCCCUCUUCUUCAAUGACACUCAUCUGUCCCCCUCUUCUACACUGAACAUCCUCGAUAUGUCCUUUACUUAUAAUCUGAACUGGAAACUUCACAUCUCAUCUCUAGCUAAAACAGCUUCUAAGAAGUUGGGCGUUCUGAGACGUCUCCGCCAGUUUUUCUCACCCCCCCCAGCUACUAACUCUGUACAAGGGCCUUAUCCGUUCAUGUAUGGAGUAUGCUUCACAUGUCUUGGGGGGUUCCACUCAUACUGCUCUUCUAGACAGGGUGGAAUCAAAAGCUUUUCGUCUCAUCAACUCCUCUCCUCUAACUGACUGUCUUCAGACUCUCUCUCACCGCCGCAAUGUUGCAUAUCUAGCUCUCUUCUACCGCUAUUUUCAUGCUAACUGCUCUUCUGAUCUUGCUAACUGCAUGCCUCCCCUCCUCCCGCGGCCUCGCUGCACAAGACUUUCUUCUUUCUCUCACCCCUAUUCUAUCCACCUCUCUAACGCAAGAGUUAACCAGUAUUCUCAAUCAUUUAUCCCUUUUUCUGGUAAACUCUGGAACUCCCUGUCCGCUUCUGUAUUUCCACCUGCCUAUGACUUGAAUUCCUUCAAGAGGGAGGUUUCAAGACACUUAUUCAUCAAUUUUUGACCACUGCUUUGACCCUUUUAUGGGACUGGCAUUUCAGUGGGCAUAUUUUUUUUAUUGGAUUUGUGUUGCCCUUGGCCAGUGUCCUUCCUACAUAAAAAAAAAAAAAGUUAGUGCAGCACCUGACCGACUUGUGGAUGCACCCAAAAUUCUCAAUCAUUUUUUCAACCUUUAAUGCUUCAAGUUAUUAUGUCAAACUACUCUCUCCUUAGUAUUCUUCCGAUCACAAUCUUACUUCUGCACAGUACAUAAGACCAUAAGAAAUAAGAAUAUAAGAAAUAAGUACAUAAGACCAUAAGAAAUAAGGAGAUCGCAAAAGACCAGUUGGCCAGCAGAAGGAAACUCCCGUCUUAUCGCUCCAGUACCGUCUUUGUGACCACCAAAGAAUACUGUGUGUAUUUCUCGCACUACAUGUUUGCUAAGAAGCACCUGAGAAGAUAUUCCUAUUUUCCCUAAAUUUCCCUCAAUGCUAGAUCCACCUCUUUGCAAAUCACACUACAGAGGUGAUUGUCUCUUGCACUGAGACAUUCCACAUACUUAUUCUAAUCCUAAAUUUUGUCAACCUUAUUCCAACUCAACUUGUUUUCUUAUAGGACAAAGAGACGGCCAGAAAAUGGUACCUCAGCUUUUCAUCUGAAACUCACAUUUCUAACCGAUAUCAUUCUAAAUGUGUCCUCGAGCUUGUCAAACCCCUUUCAUCCAUAAAUUGCAUUAAAAUAUAGCCAGAUAGCCUCCUCAUUGUGACUCAUGCUAAAAAUUCAAACAGUAUCUCAGUAGACACCUGCCGAAACGAUAAUUACUCACAGUGAGGACUGAAGCACUGAAUCAGGGGACGCUAUGAUACUUAUUACACACACCAUCACUCAAAAUUCAAGAUUAAAUAUGGCGAAUCCUAUACCAGCCUCGGAAUCCCCGUCUGGCGAGGGAACCACAAAUAUCACCAGGUCGGACUGCUCUUCUGGUAUCGACCCUAAGUGUUUUGAUAACCCUCUCCACUUUUUCUUCAUUAACUUCUGCAAAAUUUGCGGCGUUAGUUCUAAUUUUCAGUCUCUAGAAGACCACCUCGCCUCUACUAAAUCUCAUCUUCUUUUUCUCACCGAAACACAGAUGUCUGAGGCAACUGACAGUAACCCCUUUUCUGUUCCCUCCUACUUUCUUUAUCCUCAUUUUCAAUCCAAAGAUGGAUUUUCUGUCUAUGUGCGCAACGAUUUAACCUGCUUACAUGCCCACGCUCUUGAAACUUCCGAAUUUUCCACAUACUCUGGUGACAGCUACAGAGUCACUCUCGAACUAAAUUUAUCUGUGCUGUAUACCUCUCACCUAACUCCUCUGAAUAUAAGAAAUUCUUUGACUACUUAAUUUCCAGAGUGGAGUACAUUCUAAUUCUCUUUGCUUUUGCAGAGAUCUCCAAUGUUCACCACCAACUUUGGCUUUCCUCUCCCUUCACUGACAUUUUGGUGAACUAGCCUUCAACUUUGCUAUCCUCCAUGACCUAGAGAAAUUGGUGCAACAACCAGUUCAUCUUCCUGUCCAUCUUGAAAAUACGCCUAACAUUCUUGGCCUUUUCAUCACCACUAAUCUUUCUGCUUAUGCUAUCUCCUAUCUUCUCAUUUGGGCUCCUCCAAUCACAACCUCAUAUUUAUAUCUUGUCCUAUCUUUCCAGUCCCUCCUCAGUAUCCCCUAAAGCGUUGGUGCCUCUGGCGUUUUGCUUUUGCUAAUCAGGGGGACCUGAUGAGGUAUUAUUCUAAUUUUCCUUGGAAUGACUAGUACUUCCGUGUCAGAGACCCAUCUUUGUGUGCUGAACGCAUAACAGAGGUGACAGUGUCUGGCAUGGAGGCGUACAUUCCUCACUCUUUUUCUCGCCAUAAACCUUCCAAACUUUAGUUUAACACAGCCUUUUCUCGUGCAAUACAUGAUAGAGAGGUGGCCCACAAAAAUUACUUGAGCUUUCCAUCGCCUGAAUUACAUGCACUUUUUAUUUCUGUCCAGAAUCAUGCCAAGUUUGUUCUCCAACUAGCCAAAAAUCCCUUUAUUUAUAGAGUGUCAAAAUCUUUCAAGAUUUAACUCCCCUCGCGAGUUCUGGAGCCUAUCCUUUGCUUCUUCAUCUUUCUUCCUUUAUUUCAACCUAUGGCACCACUGCCAUCUCAUUUAUUUCUAAAGAUGAACUCUUUACUCAAACCUUUAUUAAAACUCCACCUUGGAUGAAUGUUCCUCUGUCUCCUUCAACCUCUGACUAGGUCAUGCUAACCAUUAAGAUACUUCUCAGUGAUGUUUUCCAGUCCCCUCGCUGGCCUAAACACUCGGAAGGUUUAUGGACCUGAUUGGGUCCCUCCUAUUGUUCUCCAAAACUGUGCCACUGUGCCUAGUCAAACUCUUUCGACUCUGUCUAUCAACAUCUAUCUUUCCUUCCUGCUGCAAUUUUGUCUACAUUCAGGCUGUUUCUAAAAAGGGUGACCGUACUAAUCUAUCAAACUCCCGUCAUAUUGCUUUAAUUUCCUACCUCUCUAAAGUUUUUGAAUCUAUCCUCACCAGGAAGAUUCUCAAACAUCUAUCACUUCACAACUUUCUAUCUAAACGUCAGUAUGGUUUCCGUCGAGGUUGUUCUGCUACUGAUCUGGCUUUCCUUACUGAGUCUUGAUCAUCCUCUUUUAGAGAUCUACUAGCAAUUGUGUUCCUCAGAGUUCUGUCCUGUCACCCACUCUUCCUAUUAUUCAUCUAUGAUCUUCCAUACCAAACUUUUUGUCCUAUCCAAUCCUACGCUGAUGAUACUACCCUUAACUUUUCCACCUUUUUUUUAUAGAUGUCCAACCCUUCAGGAAGUAAAGAGUUCACGCAGGGAAGCCACAGAACGCCUGACUUCAUCCAUCACUCCUCCAUUUUUCAACUCGACACAACCUUCCCGAAAACUAUCCCUUUAACUGGCCCCCUCUUCUACAUUGAACACCCUUGAUCUAUUCUUUACUUAUAAUCUAAACUGAAAACUUCACAUCUUAUCUCUAGCUAAAACAGCUUCUACCAAGUUAGGUGUUCUGAGUCGUCUCUGCCAGUUUUUCUCACCCCCCAGGUGCUAACUCUGUACAGGCGUCCAUGUAUGUAGUAUGCUUCACACGUAUAGGGGUUCCACACACAACGCUAUUUUAGACAGGAUAGAAUCAAAAACUUUUCGUCUUAUCAACUCCUCUCCUCUAACUGACUGUCUUCAGCCUCUUUUUCAUCGCAGCAAUGUUGCAUCUCUAGUAUCUUUUAUCGCUAUUCAUGCUAUCUGCUCUUCUGAUCUUGCUAACUGUAUUCCUCCGUUCCCCCCGCAGCAUCCCUGCACAAGAUAUUUUCUUUUUUUCUCUCAUCCUUAUUCUGUCCAUCUUUCUAAUGCAAGAGUUAACCAGUACUUUCAAUCAUUCAUCCCUUUCUCUGAUAAUCUCUGGAACUCCUUGCUUGUUUCUGUAUUUCCUUCUUCCUAUGAUUUUAAAUCUUUCAAGAGGGAGGUUUUAAGAAGACAAUUAUCCUUCAAUUUUUUUUUAUUUUUGGCAUAACUUUUGGGACUGGUAUCUAAAUGGGAUUUUUUUUUUUUUUUUUUGGUCAGUGACCCUUUUACAUAAAAAAAUAUAUAUAUAUUUCUAAACCUGUACUGUUCUCUCAGUUUUUUUUUUCCUGACUGUACUCUUCCUGCUUCAUUUCCACCCCUUGAUAUGUUAUGCUUGAUGCCGAGAUUCUUCGAAACGAUGCUUUAUAUGCCCUCUCUUGCCUUGAUCUUCGAAAGGAUUAUGACUUUGGUGAAGCCUGUCUAUCGUUAUUCGUAACUAUAGACGUGGUCAAAUUAUUUUGUCUCCCUUCAUCCACAUAAAAAAGUCCCUCCAGUUACAAGUUUGCCUACAUUAACUUACACAACCAUUCAAGCUACCAGUCUAUAGCUCGGAUUUCUUGUCUUCUUAAAGUUUAUGAGUUAAUCCUCAAUAAGAAACAUUGUUCGCUCACAACCUUCUCUGUGAUCAUCAUCAAUAUGGAUUCCAUAUUGGUGAUCCUUUAGCUUUCUUUACUAACUCAUGGUCAUCCUUUCAGGAACAUUUGUGAAACUUUUGCUGUUGCCUUAGGUAUAUAAAACGAUUUUGGUAAAGUCUGACAUGCACAUAGUUUCACAUAGUUUCCAUGCACCUCUCUGCACCUUUACCUCAAGUUUUCUUUCUGGCCAUUCAAUCACUUGAGUAGAAGGCCUGUUUUUUUUUUUUUUUUUUUUCUUUUAAGCCUGUUAAUAAUGGUAUUCUGCUGACCUUUGUCGCAACAUCCAUUUUCUUCCUGUUGUUUGUAAAUUAUCUCAAACUUUGUAUCCUAUCCAAUCAUAGGCUGCUGAUUCCACCUACAGUUCUCAUUUGCCAGACGGCCAAAUCAGCAAGAAUUCCAGAGAUCACACCGAGAAGCCACAGAAGCACUAACUUCGGAUCUUUUUAAAAUUAUCCUACGGAGCAGACAAACCUUGUGUUGUCCAUUGCUUUAUAAACCCAAUUCUUUAAUUUAUUCCAUCAACACAACUUUUUCGGCAACUAUUCUCUCUUCCUCCAUGACAUAGCUAUGCCACUUCUCUACCUUGAACGUAAUUGGACAGUCCGGCUCAUAAAAAAAAUAAAUAAAUAAAUAAAUAAACAAAAUAAGUAAAUAAAAUAAAUUAAUUAAUUAAUUAAUUAAAUAAAUAAAUGUAAAUUAUGUAUCUCUUGCCUUACAAAAAUACGUAGCUUCCAUGAAAUGUCGUGUAUCGUGUCCACCAAUAGUUCUCUCUCUCUCUCUCUCUCUCUCUCUCUCUCUCUCUCUCUCUCUCUCUCUCUCUCUCUCUCUCUCUCUCUCUCUCUCUCUCUCUCUCUCUCUCUCUCUCUCUCCUUACAGCUGCUGACGCUAUACAAGGACAUUAUCUGUCCUUGAAUUUCUCACUCACUACCGUUAUGUUGCAUUUCUUACUAUCUUUUACCACUAUUUGCAUGGUUGGUGCUCUUCUAAACCAGCUACCUGAAUGUUUAUCUUCCUCCUGCGGCCUCGCUGUACAUGACUACUCGUGUAUGUAACCUGUUUUGGCCACUGCACGAACUAGAGUUAAGCAACAUCUUUGCUCUUUCAUUCCUUUCACAGGGGAAAUCUGGGAUUCUCUUCCUGUUUUUUUUGUUUUUCUUGUUUGAAUUGUUCAAAAAAUGGUUCCAUGACACACUAGAAAAUAAACUGGCCAGCUUUUAUUUUUUUAGUUUACUUUUGAGAGCGGCAUAAUGCAGGCUUUCUUUAUUUUCUUUGUUUUGUUUUGUUUUGUUUUGUUUUUGUUUUUUUGCAAAUAUUUGUAUCCUUCCUCUUAUGAUAUUUUAACGCGCAAAAAAAUCAAUAAAUUCCAGUUGUAAGCUGAAGCGUGUCCCUCAUGAAAAGUCGUGUCGUCUUGGCUUAUCAUUCAUUGUACACAUGUAAAUGACAGGAAGGUUGGCAUUGACAUACUGCAGUUUGUUGAACGUUUUGGCGAGUAUUGAGUCCUGAGUAUUGAUGCACGUGCUGCCGUUCGAUGCCCUUGACCAUAAAUAGCCAAGAAUGAAACCGAUAUAUUAAUUCACAAA